rnacentral:rRNA from 1 species
CCUACGGGAGGCAGCAGUAGGGAAUCUUUCACAAUGGGCGAAAGCCUGAUGGAGCAACGCCGCGUGCAGGAUGAAGGCCUUCGGGUUGUAAACUGCUUUUAUAAGCGAGAAAUAUGAUGGUAACUUAUGAAUAAGGAUCGGCUAACUACGUGCCAGCUGCCGCGGUCAUACGUAGGAUCCGAGCAUUAUCCGGAGUGACUGGGUGUAAAGAGUUGCGUAGGUGGCAUAAUAAGUAGCUAGUGAAAUCUGGUGGCUCAACCAUUCAGACUAUUAGCUAAACUGUUAAGCUCGAGACCGUUAGGGGUAACUGGAAUUUCUAGUGUAGGAGUGAAAUCCGUAGAUAUUAGAAGGAACACCAAUAGCGUAGGCAGGUUGCUGGGACGGUUCUGACACUAAGGCACGAAAGCGUAGGGAGCAAACGGGAUUAGAUACCCCAGUAGUC